GGUUUAAAGGUUGAGAUUGAUUGAUCCCUGAUUCGAGAAAGAUUUUAUUCGCCUUGUUGGAGCACAUCUUAUUGAACAAGAACAAAGCAAGGAUGGAGAAUUGAGUAGACUAUUUACAUCAGCUUAGUUACUGGACGGACGGUCAUUUUCAUCUUAAUAAUGCAAUCUAAGGCGCAACGAAAAACUAUCACCAAUCCCACAGCUGC
rnacentral:lncRNA from 1 species